GCUGGUGUGGCAUAGUGGUUUGAGCAUUGGCCUACGACUUUGGAGACCAGGGUUCAAUUCCCUGCUCAGCC
rnacentral:tRNA from 1 species